rnacentral:rRNA from 1 species
GUACACGCUGUGACUAGCAUAUCAAUAAGCGGAGGAAAAGAAACUAACAAGGAUUCCCCUAGUAACGGCGAGUGAAGCGGGAAGAGCUCAAAUUUGAAAUCUUAAAGGGUUUCCCUUUACGAAUUGUAGUUUAAAGAAGUGUUUUCUGUUGAGGUUUUGGUAAAAGUUCUUUGGAAGUAGGACAUCAUAGAGGGUGAGAAUCCCGUAUUUGACCUUACUUUCAACUUUGUGAUACACUUUCAAAGAGUCGGAUUGUUUGGGAAUGCAGUCCAAAAUGGGUGGUAAAUUUCAUCUAAAGCUAAAUAUUGGCGAGAGACCGAUAGCGAACAAGUACCGUGAGGGAAAGAUGAAAAGAACUUUGAAAAGAGAGUUAAACAGUACGUGAAAUUGUCAAAAGGGAAGCGUUUGACACCAGUGUUGUUUUUCUGAAAAUCAAUUAAAGAACUGUUUAUGCUAAGCUGUUUAGACUUUAUCAGCUAUCUGUUUAGUUUUGAGCCUUUCUUUAAUGCACUUUUCAGUUAACAAGUCAACAUCAAUUUCUUUUGCUGUAAAAAAGCUUGAGGAAGGUGGCUUGAGAUUCGUCUUAAGUGUUUAUAGCCUCUUGCCUAUGCAGUCGGAGAGAUUGAGGUCUGCAGCGUAGAUCCUUCGGGGCUAAAUGCAUUUGUGCUAAGUUAUAGCAUUUUAUAGACAACUUGUUGACUAUGAUUUGUCUUGUAGCUACUCGCUUAUGUUAUUUUACCUACGCUUAGGAUGUUGACGCGCGUGUGUGCGUG